CUUCCAACUCUGUCCUGUUCUAUUCUAUUCUAUUCUAUAGUCUAUUCUAUUCUAUUCUAUAGUCUAUUCUAUUCUAUUCUAAAUUCUAUUCUUAUGAAAAAGAAAUUUCCUUACUGAAGUUCUAUCAAUUUUUAUGUGAACUUUGCUUUGCUCAAAAUAUUUCUAUUCUGACUUUCAAUCAAGAAACAUCAAGAUGGUAGGAGCAGCAAGGUCCAUGCAGCUUUCUUCCAGCCCUACGCAAAGCUCCUUAUUGUAAACCAGUCCUACAGGAAAUGGCAAUCUGCAUCAAAGAGGCAACGAAUGAGAAAUCCACUGAGCCAACUCAAAAAUGACAACAGAUACGUGUAUUAUUUCUUUUUGGCAUUUUUAAUCUGGCACUCUACAGUUUGGAUUGAAACUGCAGAAUAGUCAAGUGCCCAGAGACCAGCUCAAGACUUAAGAUACUUUGGGGGAUCUUGUGCAACAAAUCAAACAUCUGGAAGAUUGAGACCGGCAUAUCUACAUCCAUUGGGAAAACAGAAAAUACCAAGAAACAGUCGUACAAACUCUUUCUUCAUAUAAAUGGUAAUCAGAGCAGCUAAUUAUUUUGUCUUCUUUUUACCUCAAAGCUCUUCCCAUAUAAUAAAGCCGGAUAAAAUGCUAUUCAACUUUUCUCAAGCUGUAGAUAUGCAGCAGCAAAAAACAAAACAAAAAAAC